AUUGGCUUUCAAUUCACCGAAGCUGAGUGUCUCAAGAUUGAUGUAAAAGAGAAGAAAGUCUAUUGCCAAUCUAAUUUAGAGAAUGGGGAAAACGAAAUUUGAGUGGACUACGACUACCUUGUAAUAUUUGUGGGAGCAAAUGUUAAUACAUUCAAUACUCCUGGUGUGAUGGAGAACUGCCAUUUCUUGAAGGAAGUAGAAGAUGCCCAGAAGAUACGAAGAACUGUUAUUGAAUGCUUUGAAAAGGCUAGCCUGCCAACUGUAAAUGAUGAGGAGAAGGAGAGAAUUCUUCAUUUUGCCGUUGUUUGAGGUGGCCCAACUGAGGUUUAAAGCAGAACAGCAGCUACAAUGUCAAAGCUACAGAGUUUAAACUCAAGAGUCAUUACUGGAUACUUACUAGCAGGAUCUGCCAUUGGACCCAGUCACCCAGAGGCUUGAAUUUUGUCAGUGAAAUAGUCCAAGAGGCUUGUCUUUAUUCCUAUUUUGCUUGAUUGAUUCUUUCUUUGCGCUUCCCCUAUUGACUGUUUCUUCAGGAUUAUGUUUUCAGUUGUUCCAUUUGCAGAUUCAAAAUCAUGAAUACUCAUGUUAUACUAGAUUCAAAAUCACGAAUACUCAUGUUAUACUAGUUCGGUCUUUUGCCAUUCGGUAUAGGUGGAUCUAUAAUUUUCUUGUCAUUAAUUUAUGUGUGUUUACAUUUGGUAAAGUCCAGUUAUAUUAGUAUUGAGAUUCACUGCCUUUUUAGUACCUUUUAAGCUCAGUCAUGUCGGUAUUUCUUUUCGUUGAGUUUAGUAAUACCAAAAAUCACUGUCAUUAGGUUUAUGUUGCACUGUGAAACUGACUUUGUCAUUCUCUUGCAGGGCCUUGGAUUACAAGUUGUGAAAUAUUUGGCUGCCAAAUAUGAAGAGCUAGGGUGUGAAGUGAAAUGGAUGGGCAAGCCUGAUAAGGUGAUCUAGUCACA